rnacentral:piRNA from 1 species
UCNCAAUGGCCACCUCUGCAAUCGCUGCUUA